rnacentral:rRNA from 1 species
AUGUAUCGGGUGCCCAGGGACCUAAAAAUCCGGAGUAGAUCGCUGUUUAGUGACGCAAAAGUACAACUGCAGCUUGCCACGCUGGUUGUUCUCCGCCUGGACACCGCACAAGAAUGCCGGCCCCUCACAGAGGGAGAAUUCAACCUGCGAAAACUUCUAAAGUUGCGAAUCCUAGGGCUAGCGGCGGUGGAAAGGACUCGGAAGCGCCAGGCGUCUAGGAUAACCUGGUUGUGAGCAGGCGAUGCCCAAACGGCCUUCUUCCAGGCCAAGAUCAAUGCCAGGCGCAGAAAAAAAUUCAUCCACUCGCUGCAAGGACCGGCUGGUGUUGCCACAACACAUGAUGCAAAAGAGGAACUAGUCCACAACCACUUAGACUGAUCUAUAGGGACUAGACAGGGCCGAGCCAGCACAAUUGAUUGGAGCUACAUCGACAUGCCAAGAGUACAAGGUGGUGGGCUAGACAACCCUUUCACCGAGCAGGAAGUGUGGCAAGCAAUCAAGCAAUCGCCAGCGGAAAAAUCCCCUGGCCCGGACGAUUUCUCCGGCGUUUUCUUCAGAACUUGCUGGCAAACCCUAAGAGGGAUAUCAUGGCGGCCUUCCACCAGUUCUACCAUCUCGUCGGGGGCAACUUCCAUAUGCUCAACACAGCUGUUGUAG